UGUUUCAGCUUUUUUUUUUUUUAGCAUACAAAAUGAAUUGAUAAAUUGUCACCAGAAACAUAUGCACUAAUCCAUAAAAUAUUCUCAAUAUUCUCCUUUUGCCAGUAAAAUUCAUGGAGCUGCUUUGCUCCUCAGGCUGGGAUAGAAAAUAGAAAAUAUAAUUAGAAAGAGAAAGAGGGGAAGAUGUGAAUGUCAAUAGGGGCUGAUGCAAGCCAUCAUCAUCAUCAUCAUCAUCAUCAUCAUCCCAACAUCACCGCCCAGGGCAGCAGACAGGCCAGGACCGCCUCUGGUCAUCUAAUAUCAGAUGAUACAAGGCAGCAUUUAUGUUAAAUGAAUGUAAUAAUUGUUGAAUAAUAAAUAAAAAAACCUUCUAAAAGUUGAUGUUUCUGAACAUGUUUUGCAGCACAGCCUGUGGGUGAGGUCAACGCUGUUUUGGGGCCCCUGGAAAAGUUUAGGAACCUGUGAUCCAACCAAAGAAUCUUUCUUGUUUCUGCUCAGCCGAAGUUUAGUCUGUUUAUGUUGUUCAUGAAUUUUCUCCUGAUGCAGCUUCACUGCCCUCGCUCCUCUCAGCUCUCCUUUGUGGGACGGUGUCAGAUGUGCUGCAGGUGGCCCCUGCAUUAACCUUCACCCUGCAGCCUGUGAGCAGCAGGGCGGGACGCGGCGCUCAGAUCGGGUUCCAGCAGCCAUUAUGCAUGACAUCAGAGCCGCUGGACAGUUGUGUACAGCUGUGGCCAGAGCAGAGCAGGAACUGGAACAAAACGACCCAGUGAAAACAUGUUUUUUUCUUCUUCGAUCCAAAAGUAUAAAUCAAUCUGCACAAGAUGAGGAAGAACCUGAUGAACACUUUCAUCAUUAAUGAGAAAUCAAGACUGGGAAUGAUAGUUUUACCAGACGUGUGAAUUCUUAUUUUGCCGUUUCUUUAGCUGGAUUUGAACUUCCUGUUCAACAUUUAUAAAACGCCACCGGGUUUUUUUUUUUCUUCUUUUUUCCAACAUGACCAGAGAGGAAUGUGGAACAGGUGCUGGCUCCGUUUUCAGCCCGGCUCAAAAAGAGCAACUGCUGGCCGCACCUGUUCCCCACCAGUCUGGGAAACUGGACCCAGCUCCAAACAUCACAAAGCACCAACCAGUAUCAUGAUUCUGCUACCAAAGAUCAUCCAAUAGAAGAGCCUGGUCUAAAGACGCCGAUUGGUCUACGCCUUCCAUCCUCUCCUGUAACCUCCACCAGGCGCUGAUGCCAAACCAAAACUACAGCCUCCCUGAUGACAGAAGUACACACCGUCACGCUAUGCUUCGGAGUGGUUUGGCGGAGAACCCGGGCUCCAGCCUAACCUGGUCAGCCAGUCCUGAACACGCUGCUGGAGCAGGAUGGGAAACAGCAACGCUUUUCUGUCUGGGCUCCAAGGUGAGGCCGAAGCCAAAGGUACGGUGAUGAAAGGUAUGCCCUUUUGUUAGGACUCCAGUUUUCUGUUUUCAGCUCUUUUUUUUUUCAGCAUAAUCUCUGUAGAACUCUUUGCUCAGCCAAAGUAUAUAACUGGUGUCAUCAGAUGUGCUUUUUAGCUCUGGCUUGUGAAAAAGCAGAAGCUGUGAGUUCAAAAGGGAAAUUCUGCUGACAGAGAAACAAGCUCCAGCUCUCCAAACCUCACAUGUUUACUGGUGCUCUCUUGGUUACAAGAAGUGAUUAAAGGAAAAACUGAUUGUGUGUGUGAUUAGUUGAGACUGCAGCUGGAUGUUAUGCACCAGAUUAUAACAAACAGCAAAGACCUAUUGUUUGAUGCUGAAACUCGGUUUAUGUUUAAUGAGUCAGUGUUAGCGUCCCUUUGUUCCGACCGGCUGCUUAUGGAAACGUCCCUUCAGAUCCACCAUGACCUGCCGGUGUGUGACGUCCACUUCUGGGAGGAAAAUCCUCACAGAUGUUUGAGUAAACCUGCAUCGCUUCGGAUUAAUGGAAUAGAAAAUGUCUGGAAAUGCCAAUAUAACACCUCUGGGAUUAUUGGGCGGCAACAAUUGCUUCUCUAAGGUAAUGUCUUUUUGGCUUGUCGUUGUGUAUGAAUACACCUGGCUGAUGUGAUCCCUCGGUCAACCAGUUUUUGUACAUUUUCAAGUGUGUUAACAAAAAACACCAAAGCAGUAAAGCCCAAAAGCAUUUCUUCCAAAAAAACAAAAAAAACUCAAUCUGUUUCUCAACUGACAAUUUCCAAAGUCUUUUGCCAAUUCCGGAGCCGGCGUCUCGUCAGACGGCGUCUCGUCAGACGGCGUCUCGUCAGGUUGAGUGACGCGUUCAGGGAGGCUGAAACACGUGAACGCAUGUGGGGAAUAAAAACAAGCUGCGCUCACACACCGUUUUCUUUCCCACACUGACACCUUGACGAUUCUCACCUCCAUUACUGCUCACCUUCUGUUCCCGGCAGGAAUGCUGGACGUGAGCCUCCAUCUCCAUCUAGUAAACAUGCUCUCUCGCCGCCGGGGCGACGCGCUCUCCAAAAAUCCGUGCUGAGCCUGAGCAAAUGCGCUCAGGCCGACAGACGAGCGCUCGCAGCCGCCCGCAGAAAGGACGACAAGUGUACACACAUGUGACCCCCGCAGAGGAAGUGAGAUUAGCUCUUUGCUGCUGCUGUAAUUCAGUUAUCCCUCUCAGCCUGAGGCCAGGCGGGGAGCGGGAUUCUGCUGCGUCCAGACUUUUGUCUGAUUGGCGGCUUUGCUCAUCCCUCCUGCACGCAGGUGACCGUCUUCUUCCCAGAGCCUGGCUCCUCUCCACGUUCCACCCCCACCUCGGUUUUCACACAACCUCCCGACACCAAGGCUUCUCUCUUGCUGCUAAUCUGCCAUCUUAAAUAUGGCUGCCGUGACGGCUUACUUUGUGACAUGACUCUUGACUCAGGAAUUUCAACGCCGCAUGAGGGUCUGGAGUUUCACUGGCAGCUAAAGUAAAUAUAGUUCAAACAUUUACAAAAGUUGAAGCAGAAGGUCACUUUAGUAAUAUUUAAUAUUUAAUUUAGCAGUGAGACUCAGUUACAAUAUUAAUUGAGUUAACUGCUGGGUCUGUACUUGAUCAGUCUUGUUUCAAUAUAUAAUAUUUUCAAAUUUUAAAAAAGCCUUUUUUUUGCUAAAUUAAUUGAUAAAUAGGCACAUGAGCACAACAAUAGAGAUAUUUAUUAUUGUUUCUCAUCUGUUAUUCAGGUCAUUCAACCAUCAGAUUUGUGCAAAGUUCUAUUUUAAUGCCUUUCAUCUUUCCUGAUCAUUCAUGGAUCUUCUUUAGAAAUGUGGACUGUAGAGGCUGACAUUAGCAUUGGUCUUUAGCAUUGAGAUGCAAUUUUAGGCUUCAAUAGCUUCGCUGAUAGGCUAACUCCUUUUAGCACAACUUGAACACAACAAUACUCUUUUCUAGCAUCCAAUCAGAUCCUUUUUUGAAGCAGAAUUUAACUCCCGGUGGGUCAAGAGAAGCAGCUUUAUCAUCCAUUCAUGCUCAAAAAAAGGUAAAUCAUCCAACAUGAAUGUGUUCAUUUUAGAAAAAAUAAAUAAGAAAAUAAAAAUAAAAUUAAGCUAUAUCGGUUUUGGUUCAGUUUAACAGCUACUAUAACCACUGAUUGGUUCCACACAUCAGCUUUCCUGGAUACAAGAUAGAUCUUAGAUUAUUUUUUUUUUUACCCCUCCAGGGGGUUUUUUGUGGGCUCUAGUGUCCCUUAAAUGAUAGUAGGCUG